GACGAACGCUGGCGGCGUGCUUAACACAUGCAAGUCGAACGGAAAGGCCCUGCUUUUGUGGGGUGCUCGAGUGGCGAACGGGUGAGUAACACGUGAGUAUCCUGCCCUUGACUUUGUGAUAUCUUCAGGAAACCGGGGAUACUACCGGAUAGGAGCUCCUGCUGCAUGGUGGGGGUUGGAAAGCUUGGGUGGUUGGGGAUGGAUGGGCGGCUUACCAGCUUGUGGGUGGGGUAGUGGCUUACCCACGCAUUGACGGGUAGCCGGCCUGGGAGGGGGACCGGCCACAAGGCGGCUGCGGGAGGGCCCAGUCGGGUACGGGAGGCAGCGGGGGGGAGUAUUGCACAGUGGGGCGGAGCCUGAUGCAGAGACGCCGCGAGCGGGAAGACGGCCUUCGGGGUGUAAACCGCUUUCGCCUGUGACGAAGCUGGAGUGACGUUAAUGGGUAAAGAAGCACCGGCUAACUACGUG
rnacentral:rRNA from 1 species